GAUCCUGGAUUGCCAAGACCAUAACUGGGUCAUGGCCCUUUAGAUAUGAUAUCGAAUUCCGAUCUUCUUAUUCUUGGUAAUGCUGCCCAGUAAUUAUUUCAAAAAAAGGAAAAUGCUGCCCAGUACUGAUUCCCAUGUAGUGUAUAGUUUCCUACUUCCAUCUUUAUCAUUUAUACAUUUCGAAGUCAGAUGCCCACAUGUGAGUUCUUGUAUGAUUACACCAUUUUUUUUUAAGGCCCAUAACAUUUCUUCUUUAUGUAUUAUUAAGGCACCUCA
rnacentral:lncRNA from 1 species